rnacentral:rRNA from 1 species
UACGAAGGGGCGAGCGUUGUUCGGAAUUACUGGGCGUAAAGGGCGCGCAGGCGGCUCUGAAAGUCAGAUGUGAAAGCCCCCGGGCUUAACCUGGGAACUGGCAUUUGAUACUCUGGAGCUUGAGUACGGGAGAGGAUAGUGGAAUUCCCAGUGUAGAGGUGAAAUUCGUAGAUAUUGGGAAGAACACCGGUGGCGAAGGCGGCUAUCUGGACCGUAACUGACGCUGAGGCGCGAAAGCGUGGGGAGCAAACAGG